CCUACGGGAGGCAGCAGUGGGGAAUAUUGGACAAUGGGGGCAACCCUGAUCCAGCCAUGCCGCGUGUGUGAAGAAGGCCCUCGGGUUGUAAAGCACUUUCAGUGAGGAAGAACGCCUGGUGGUUAAUACCCAUCAGGAAAGACAUCACUCACAGAAGAAGCACCGGCUAACUCCGUGCCAGCAGCCGCGGUAAUACGGAGGGUGCGAGCGUUAAUCGGAAUUACUGGGCGUAAAGCGCGCGUAGGUGGCUUGAUAAGCCGGUUGUGAAAGCCCCGGGCUCAACCUGGGAACGGCAUCCGGAACUGUCAAGCUAGAGUGCAGGAGAGGAAGGUAGAAUUCCCGGUGUAGCGGUGAAAUGCGUAGAGAUCGGGAGGAAUACCAGUGGCGAAGGCGGCCUUCUGGAUUGACACUGACACUGAGGUGCGAAAGCGUGGGUAGCAAACAGGAUUAGAUACCCGAGUAGUC
rnacentral:rRNA from 1 species